UUCAGACUGUAGCAGGAGUGAUGCCCUCUCCCCGUGGUCCAUCAAGCUCUAUCUAUAAGAUGAGUCUCAGGAGACUGAGUACCAACCUCUAGACAGGAGCAGGGAGGGAUAUAAAAUAGAAAUGUUGACAAGGCAAAGAGAAUGAUGCCCCCAAGGCCACUGUGGUUCUACAGACUUAUGUUUGUGCUCGAGUUAGAGCAGGAUGAGGUUGGAAAUGAAGCUUACAGAGUUACAAGGGACGGCGGUAGUUCCAGAAAGGACAGGGUCAUCUGGUUUUUGGAAGGCAUCUUGGAGAUUUCAUCAUGGGGCAGUUGAAGCUCAGAGAGAAGUGGCUUGACCAAGGCCCAACGGCAGGCUCCAAUAUGGCUCAGAAAGGCACUGAGAAAACCUAGCCUUAGCUAGGCUAAGAGCCUAGCUUCUGGCCUGGCUUUUACGUGGUCAGCGGAUGUGCGUCCAUCCCCCUGCACUGGUUCCCCUUGUCCUUUCUGUGGCUCUCCUGGAUUCCUCUCGUUCAGCUCCUUGGUGUACAGAGCCUAUGUCAAUGGCAAUGGUGAGGGAAAUUGCCAGAGCCCUGCCCUCCAGGCCUGUCCUUAUUCAUGGGGAUCUGAGAAGAAGAGAUUAGGACCCAGACAUGCACAGAGGAGACCCUGUAAGGACACAAAGAGAAGACAGCCAUCUGCAAGCCAAGAAGAAAGGCCUUGGGGGAAACCAGCCCUGCCCACACCUUGGUCUGGACUUCCAGCUGAUUCUUGGAUGAGCUGGUCCUUAGGCACGGAGGCAGGACUGUGAGAAAAUAAAUUUCUGUUUUUAAUUCA
rnacentral:lncRNA from 10 species